ensembl:misc_RNA
GAGCUGUCUGUCUUUUCCAUCUGGGCUACACAGUGAGCUGAGAAGGUCAAGUGUACUAUCUAUGGGCAGCACACAUGCUGGGACUUGGAGGCCAGUUUACGUGUAGAAACCAGUUAUUGUCACAAACACUCUGAGCAUGUCAUGCUGAGGGCAAAGCAGCAAGCGUCCAGUUGGAGGUCUCCUGCUAGAAUGUUUGUUGCUUAGCACAGAU